CUUGCUCCAAGUCUCUCUUUCAUUGUCAUAUAGUAUCGAUCCACUAUAGUGUACAUUACAUGACGUAGCGCGGAGAGGCGGAGCGAGAAAGAGAGACUUGUCAACUUCGGAAAAUCUCGGUUCAAAACUGAACCGAAAAUGCAAGACUUGCUUUAAUUGUUUUCCUUCAAUUUCUUUCUGUAUUAUUUACUAUAAUGGAACUCAUGUUAUUUACACUGUGCUAGAUCAAUACAUAUAAACACUGACAGAAAACAACUAAAGCAAGUCUAAAAGUCUUCCAUUUUCGGUUCAGUUUUGAACCGAGAUUUUCCGAAGUUGACAAGUCUCUCUUUCUCGCUCCGCCCCUCCGUACUACGUCAUGUAAUGUACACUAUAGUGG